rnacentral:lncRNA from 1 species
ACUUCAAAAUCACUUCAAAUCAACCUUGAAAGGUCUAAGUAAUUUAUCCUAAGUUCAGCAAGGUCAAACAAAGUUUGACAAAAAAUUUCAGCAUUUUUAAAAGUCAGAAACAAUUUUUAAUCAAUUAAAAAUGAAUAAAAAUAACCUAAUUGAACUAAAAUAUCAAAUAAAUCUCAAAUCAAUUUAAAAAUUGAUGAGAAUAUUUUUCAUAGAUCCA